CCAGCAGCCGCGGUAAUUCCAGCUCCAAUAGCGUAUAUUUAAGUUGCUGCAGUUAAAAAGCUCGUAGUUGGAUUUCGGGCGGUUGACGACGGUCCGCCUCUGGUGUGCACUGCCGUUCUUCCGCCUUUCUGGCGGGGACGUGCUCUUGGGCUUCACUGUCUGGGACACGGGUUCGCCGAGGUUACUUUGAGUAAAUUAGAGUGUUCAAAGCAGGCAUCGCCUUGAAUAUAUUAGCAUGGAAUAGCACGAUAGGACUCUGGCCUAUUUUGCUGGUCUGUAGGACCGGAGUAAUGAUUAAGAGGGACAGUCGGGGGCAUUCGUAUUUCAUUGUCAGAGGUGAAAUU
rnacentral:rRNA from 1 species